UUAGACUUCGGUGUUCAUUGUGGUCUUUCUGUAUGUCAGGUUGUGAGUAAUUCAACUAAAUUCAAUUUCAAAGUUCAUGCAGAGUCCUGAAGAGGGAGCUCUCCAGAAAUUCACACAAAGCAAUAAAUUAGAAGAAAUGUUAUUUCGCAGCAUGGCCUGGUGUUCAACUGUGUAACACAUUAGAUAUGGGCAUGUUUUUCCCCUGGUAGUUUAGGUUAGAACUCAUACAUUAAAACAUACACUUUCCAUUUCUUUGUGUUAAGACAGGCAGUGUAGCAUGCAGUGUGAAUAUACAUUCCUCAUAUAAGUGUAUGAAAGAUACACAUUACAUAUCAGGCCUUUUUUCGGUCCAGAAAUUCAAAUACUGUGAACAAAUUCAGGAAUGUGAUAUUAGUUACACCCCUCUCAGUCUAUGUGAGCUUAUGCACACAAAUGAAACACCAGUCAGCAUGCACUAUCGUGUGAUGAGUUUGGGCAGCUUUCCAACAUCUACAAUGCUUAUAGCUCAUUAAUAAUGCAAGUCUCUCAGUGUGCCCACACACACACACACACAUUAGAUGUCAAACAAGGACAACUGCAUAGAGUCUAAAACAAGUUUUUACUGGUCAAUAUACAGAAAGCAGUGGGAUGACCACUAAAGAGAGAGAAAUCCCAACCAUUUUGUUUACAAAAAGAAAAAGAAACAUAUAUAAAAUAACUGUAUUGAAGAUUUUUACAGGGUUUGUUUUUAUAUGUAAAAGAAUCUUUUUUCCUUUAAUCUUUCAGAAGCACAAUAUGACAAAGGGGGACGAGGGCGACAAGGCAGUUGUUUCACAAUGAUGACAUCACAAUCACAGUGUCCAGGCCACAGAACCACAGCACUGCGAUGUAUUUAGAGAAACUCAGCACUAAUCACACAGACAUCACUGGUUCAAGUUAAAGAUGAGAACAGAGGAUAUGCACUGAGUGACAGAACAGCUAUGUCAUACCUACUAUAUAUGCAAAAAGAACGACAUUUAAAAUGUUUAUGGAAACAUUAAACAACGGAUAUGUGUAUGGAUACAUCUCGUUUAUAAAUCUGCUAUAGUAUUGUAACCCAUCUUAUUGCAAACAAUCUGUUUAAAAAAACAAACAACACAAAAAUAAUCUGAGGACACAUGCAAUGGGAAAAUAUUCAAUGCUGAGAUAAAAGCCCACAUUAUUUUUGUGCUAAUAUCCAAAAUAUUUGAAUUUGUGAUGAGAAUUUCUGUCACCAUAUUUAAGAUUUGAACCCAAUUUCAUGUACCAAUUGUGCACAUAUAAGGAGAGACUGUGCUUGUUUGAUAUCCAUAAGUUUAGCUUCUUCACUGGCUGUGAUGUGAGUAAUUUAAUUAAACUAAUUCCAGCACUGUGGGACUGCAGCUGAUUCUGUAGUUCUGACUUUGUCCAGCAGAGGAAGAUGUUUCAUUAAAAGUGACAAUGUGGGAA